GAGACUCUGUGCGCGUGCAUAUCAAUAAGCGGAGGAAAAGAAACUAACAAGGAUUCCCUUAGUAACGGCGAGUGAAGCGGGAAGAGCUCAAAUUUGAAAUCUUCAAGGUUCUACCUUGACGAAUUGUAGUUUAUAGAAGUGUUUUCUGUUAGUAGAGUGGCAAAAGUUCUUUGGAAUAGGACAUCAUAGAGGGUGAGAAUCCCGUAUUUGACCAUUAUUUCCAGCUGUGUGAUACACUUUCAAAGAGUCGGAUUGUUUGGGAAUGCAGUCCAAAAUGGGUGGUAAAUUUCAUCUAAAGCUAAAUAUUGGCGAGAGACCGAUAGCGAACAAGUACCGUGAGGGAAAGAUGAAAAGAACUUUGAAAAGAGAGUUAAACAGUACGUGAAAUUGUCAAAAGGGAAGCGUUUGACACCAGUGUUGUUUUUCCGAAAAUCAAUUACGAAUGUUUUGUUUUUAAGAAGUUAUGACUUCAUCGGCUUGCUUCUUUCUUUACGAAACUUUCUUAAUGCACUUUUCGGUUAACAAGUCAACAUCAAUUUCUUUUGUUGUAAAAGGGUACGAGGAAGGUGGCUUUCUUUUCGGAGAAAGUGUUUAUAGCCUUGUACCUCUGCAAUCGGAGAGAUUGAGGUCUGCAGCGUAGAUCCUUCGGGGUUAGAUACAUUUGUGCUAAGUUAUAGCUUUUCAUAGACAACUUGUUGACUAUGUUUAGUCUUGUAGCUUACUCGCUUAUGCUAUUUUACCUACGCUUAGGAUGUUGAACUCUAUCACACACAG
rnacentral:rRNA from 1 species